rnacentral:tRNA from 1 species
GCCCUCGUAGCUUAAAUCAAAGCAUGGCACUGAAGAUGCCAAGAUGAGCCCUUAUAAGCUCCGAAGACA